rnacentral:rRNA from 1 species
CAAUAGCGUAUAUUAAAGUUGUUGCAGUUAAAAAGCUCGUAGUUGGAUUUCUGGUUUGAUGCCCUGGCCCGCGCCUAUUUGGUGUGAGUGCCGGUUGUGCGUCUGCCAUCCUUCUAGAAAACGUUUCUACCCUUCAUUGGGCCGGACUCGCGAUCUAGAUCUUUUACUUUGAAAAAAUUAGAGUGUUAAAGCAGGCUUUUGCUAUGAAUACAUUAGCAUGGAAUAAUAAUCUAGGACUUCGGUUCUAUUUUGUUGGUUUCUAGUACUGAAGUAAUGAUUGAUAGGGAUAGUGGGGGUAUUCGUAUUCCAAUGUUAGAGGUGAAAUUCUUGGAUUUUUGGAAGACGAACAACUGCGAAAGCAUUUACCAAGGAUGUUUUCAUUAAUCAAGAACGAAAGUUAAGGGAUCGAAGACGAUCAGAUACCG